GAACGGUAACAGGUUAAGCUGACGAGUGGCGAACGGGUGAGUAAUAUAUCGGAACGUGCCCAGUAGUGGGGGAUAGCCCGGCGAAAGCCGGAUUAAUACCGCAUACGACCUACGGGUGAAAGGGGGGGAUCGCAAGACCUCUCGCUAUUGGAGCGGCCGAUAUCAGAUUAGCUAGUUGGUAGGGUAAAAGCCUACCAAGGCGACGAUCUGUAGCUGGUCUGAGAGGACGACCAGCCACACUGGGACUGAGACACGGCCCAGACUCCUACGGGAGGCAGCAGUGGGGAAUUUUGGACAAUGGACGCAAGUCUGAUCCAGCCAUGCCGCGUGCGGGAAGAAGGCCUUCGGGUUGUAAACCGCUUUUGUCAGGGAAGAAAAGUUUGGAGCUAAUAUCUCCGGACGAUGACGGUACCUGAAGAAUAAGCACCGGCUAACUACGUG
rnacentral:rRNA from 1 species